GAGCUCAAAAGGACGCAGAGUUGGCUUAUUUUCUCCUGAACAGUCCCCAGGUGUUAUGCAGCCCCUGCCCUACCUGGCCCACACCUGGGACAGGCACCAGUGGAGAAGGCACCCUGGUAUGUAUGGUUAAGGAGCCACAGAGGAUAUAAUAUGGCAAAGUGACAGUAGAUACUGCUGUUAUUCAGGCUCUGUAAAGGAUACGUCUGAGGUGGGGCCUCGGCUUUCUGGACGAUGUCAUUGGCUCUGUUGGUCACAUCCGUCAUCUCCACUGGAGUCUCGUCCAUUUUCAGGGCUGUGAUUCGCUCCUGUGGCAUGGACUCCGCAAAACCACACUUGCCACCCGCCUUCCUGGAUGAACGGAAAAACACAGUUCUUUUGUACAUCUUCUGACAACACCAGGAGGUCAAACAGCCGUCGAUAUGUCCACUUCCACUGUUUAAUACGCAAGUGUGUGUGGUAACGUGAUGUCACUGCUCACCUUGCUUUCUUAUCGUUCUCCAGAGCUUUGCUGAUGAGCUCCGUGAUUUCAGAAACUUUGACACUGGCUAUUUUACUGCAUCUCAUAACCUUUGACACAACACACAAAAAAUAAACUGGUCUUAAACUUGG